AUUAAGUUCUGUUAAUUAUCAGAUCGAAGUACAGAAAAAUAAAUGUUUUAAUUUAAUGUCGAAAAAAUGAUCUUAAUUAAAAAAAAAAAAGAGAAAAAAAAGAAAGGUGUAAAAAAUAGUUUUUACGGGUAUAAUUAAAGUUUUUUUAUAAAAUUAUUUUUAAAAUGUCUAGAUAUCGAAGUGAACGUCAAUUUCUCGGACACAAAUGUGUAUUUAACGAGUUUGUGCAAUUAAUUGUAAUUACGCUGCGUGUACAGUCCAACUGACACGAGAGACGCAUUUAAUCUCUCUGAUGCGGACUUUCUCUGUCUCUCGCAGUUCACUCUGGACUCGGUAUAGAUAUACGCUUACUCUAUAUAGGGACUCACACCAUGCCAGACUGUUAUUAUCGCAAACCAGUCCUCCACCGCCGCUUCGGCUGCUGUUGCAUCGCCAUCAUCAGUGUAUAUACCAGGAGACACGUCAGUCUGCCGUCGAAACUGUCCGUAUCCAAUUAAAAUCCUCGCUUUACUCAUCUCACUUUUUUUCCUCUCUCCCUUCUUUGCCUUUUGCCUCUAUCUUCUUCCUAUCUAUAUUUCUCUCUUAUAUACUGCUCCUCUUUGGCUGUUCGUAUUUGCGCUGUUGAUCGAUUGGUAAUUACAACGUAAUUACGUCCACCCGUUACUCCCUGUCAGGGUCACACAACGACAGAUUCUAAUUGAAAAGUUUGCUCUCUGGCAUUUAUAAUGAUACCAAUAAUAAUAGCAACCUCAAUAACAAGCUCAUGCUCCAAUUAUUUACCUCAAGAUUUGAACGAUUGAUAUUUAUGCUGCUGAACUUCGUUAAAAAAAAUUAAAAAAUAAAAAGUAAAUUAAGUAAAAUGAAGCAAAAAAAAAGAAGAAGAAAAAAUAAAACCCCGAUGAUCAGUAGAUGGUGAUUAUCCACAAUUACCAACACCCGCGGGUAUUGCUAAUUAAUCGAGCGAUGACGUGGCUGUGGCCUCGUACCCCCUAUCGUUGAUAAUAUUAUCUCGAGGUUAAUAGACAAAGAUAUUGAAAAGCCGGUUUAAUUAAUGCAUUUAUAAAAGAGAGAAAGCUCGUGGUUCAGUUGAGGGAUAUUAUACAGAGAGGAAAGAAAAAGAAGAAGAAGAAGAAGAAGAAGAAGAUGUAUAGAGAAUUGUUCGAUAUAGUAUAGAUAGCUGGAAGUAAAGCGUCGACUCGAAGCGCUCAUUGAUUGCGCGAAAUCGAGGUUUCCUGCUCUCUUCCCCAUUGUCGUGGCUGCUGCCUCUACUCUGUACUGCUGUUCUGUAAAUUCUAUCCGUCUUUCUCUCUCUUGCUCUUGCUUUCUCACUCUGUAUCGCGAUGUUUUGUGUAGCCGGUAAAUUGGCAAGUGCGCCUCGUAAUCAAUAGGCGACCAGAGAGACAGACACAGACGUGGCGCGUACAGACCAUCGUUGCCGGGUGGGUUAGGGAGAGUGAGAGUGAGAAUGAGAAUGAGAGAGAGAGGGCGUAAAACACAUGGAUCGACUAGUGAUGUGGUGGUGAUGGUGGUGCGAGUGUUGGGGAGGUGGGUGGGGUGGCUUGGAUGGAUAUACAAGCAAAUAGAGAUAGAGUUGAGUGCUGGUGGUGCUGCUGCUAUGUAAAAGGGCGAAUGAGUAGAAGAGAAUGAAUAAAGGAUGACUACUGUAGGGUAAUGCCGAUCCGAAUGAUACGAGAGUGACUGAAAAAGGAAAUGUGAAACGUGAAAAUGGUGUAAUAUCCUCGCCGUAACCAGUACAGUGACAAAGAGAUUCAACUGUAUGCAAGUGAUGCUAUGCAGUUGUAGUGAGAGCCGGAUAACGACACGGCCGAGUGAAUAGCCGAGCGAGAGAUUCGUAUGUCUCAUAAAUAACCAAUCAGUAUAGUCGAGGCAGUAGCUACAACUUUGCUUUACAGCUUUGCUGAAUGUAAUCUCAAAAUCACAAAUUUAACAAUCUGGGUAUGUAUCAGCAUCUCAGCUCUUGCACGGAUUAAUCACUUUCAAUUCCAAGUAAAAUCCAGGGAAAAGCGGUCACGCUUAUCAGACGG